CAGAAUGAAGGAAGCAUAGAGAAUGUUCAUCUUUUAUCCAUUCUUUCAAACAUUGGCUGUGGACUAUCAUUUGUCUGUCUCAUUCUUACAGUAAUAAUUCAUGUUUGUUUCAAAAAUCUAUGGAAAUUGAUGAGUUCAAAGAUUUUAGUAAACUUGUGCUGUUCUUUAGCUGUCACUGAUCUUAUCUUUCUGAUAGGCAUGCGAGUAUUUACUAUGAAAAUAAUAAUUGUUUGUAAGACAAUGGCCACUCUGUUACACUACUUCCUUUUGACAUCUCUCAUGUGGAUGACUGUAGAGGCGCUUCAUGUGUGUCUGGCUUUGUUUGUUUUAUCCAAAACAUAUCAGAAUUUUUUUAUGGUGAGGA